UCCAACACAACCUCCCAUGAGACUCUGAUGAAAAUAGCCAAGGAUGCUGAACCCAAGGGCCCUAGGAAUAUCACUGUCUCCUAGAACACUGAUCCUGCUUUAGCACAGGUCCUGAAGCCAGAAAUGAGAGGAGCCAUCAUUGUAGAGGAAGGGGCCACCUUCCUCACCACCACCACCAGCUCACCAACUGCCACUAAGGGACCAGUCAGGCCAGAACCCAUAGAGUGAAAAAAACUCUCUAGACCAACCUGGCCGACUUCCAAGCCCAGCCUCUGAAGCCAUCAUCCCAGAUACCAACCCAGGAAGGAGAUGGGACCUGUCCACUACUUCUCCAGACAUAACAGGAAGGAUGCUCUGGAUGAUACAGCUGGUUCUGCAUGGAGACAAUAUAUAUGUCAAUGGGAAGGAAGCCACAAGGUCCAUGUAGAGUCCACAAAAUUUCCUCAGAAAGGUUCCACUGCAAUCUCUUUCUUGCUAUUUAGCAAGUUCUCCUAGGAGCUCCCUCAAUGGAACUGUGCAACCUGGCCUGCUUGGAGCCAAGAAGAAGAGGACCGCUGAUUUGGGGGGUGAUAUUUUGAUGUGCAAGUGAAUUGGAUUUAAGGAAGACAGAGCUGUGCAAAGUCAUCAGCCCAACCCUCUGCACCACAGUCAUCAGAGUUCUGAGCAACACAUAGGUCAGGAUCACUGGAGGCAGCACCAGAUGGAGUAAAAGACCUUGACCUUUCUAAGCUAAGAUCCUUCCCAAGUUUUAGUUUCUCUGAGGCACCACCCAUUCAGUGAUUAAGUUUGGUAAGCAAUGAGGCAAAAGAUGGCCUACUGUGCCUUCACAAAAGAAUGCAUAUGAAGGUGGAAGACCUUCAGAAUUUCUGGCCAGAACAAAAGGUGCCUUUUAAGUGAGGAUAGGCCUCUACAGCUAAAACAAGUGAUAUCUGAAAGAAGUGACAUCAGUCAUUUAUAUCUUUGUUCAAAGUGAUCAGUUCCUAAGAACAAAAUCUGCCAGUCUUGCAAAAUUUCCUGGAUGAGAAGGGACAAAUGUAUAAUUCAAUCUGGGGAUUGCAUAAUACAUAAACAGGGAUUGUGUCUAGGAGGGCACACUUGAGUGAGAAGCUUAAUGACAAUCCCUUAGGUGGUAGAGAGCCACGAGGCAUCCCCUUCAAGAGGAAGGAAGGUGACAAAAAAUGUAGGUGAGGGGAAACGUCAAAAACGUGAGAGUUCUUGAAGACAAGCUUUAUAUCCUUCACAACUUAGCAUGGGCUCAUCCCUGUUUAAAAUGUAUCCAUGUGUCAGCACCCACAUGUAAUUCAGUAUAGGAUUGUUCCAACUGGGCUUUCCAUUAUAACUCAGUGUGUGCUGGUCUCUUUGGGAUCAUUCCAAGAAAGAUUCUUUGCUCUGAGUGUUAUUCAACAUGGUUAUACUUGAUUGAGGUAAAAUGGUGAAAUAUUUAACUUUGUUUGUCUUUACUGGGACUGACCCUGAAGAGGGCAAAAGAAUGGAUUUAACAGGCCAGGUAUCCCUAGGAAAUUUGGUGCUGUAAUUCAGCAAUCUACAUUUUUAGUGUCCUCCAUUUUCCUUUUCAGCAUUCUCCUGGGGGUGGGGGUGAGGUGGCCAGUGCCCCCAAAUGCCCCCAACCCUCAUUGCCACAUACCACUUUGUCCUACCCUGUCCAAAUCAUCUCCUCUCCAACCUUCAAUCAAAGCCUAGCUCAAGCCCAUAGGUUCUAAUACAUCCCUACUAUAUCCUAGAAGAAUGCUAUAUUAUCCUAAUGACUAUUAAUGUAAUACUGUCCUUAGCCUAAGGAAUUUGCAAGACGAAUGCAACAGAGAUGAUUCUAGCACUGUAUAGUGAGUGAAGGGUAAGAGUGGGUGAUUCACUGAGACUACUGAUGACUUUUUGCACACGAUAUUCAUUAUUCUCAGUAACAUCUUUAAAAAAAGUAUACAUACAUAUAUUUGUAUACACACUACAUACAUACAU